AACCCAUGGUGAGGGCACCUUCUCAAUAGAUCGUUGAAUCUCUCCCAUGCAUCAUAGAGUGUUUUUAGAUCCAUUGCACAACAACACAGAUAUCAUUCCUCAACUU
rfam:Gossypium hirsutum cultivar TM-1 chromosome 8, whole genome shotgun sequence